GGAAUCACUCCUGCUUUAACAAAGAAACUGAAAGGCUACCACGAUUUGAAAUCAAGUGACUUUGCUGAGAUAAAAAAAACACGAACAAAAUCAAUUUGGGGGAAAAAAAUGGGUUAUUUCACUUACACUUCUACAGCAGUUCACCAUGGAAAGCAUUUAGGGCAGAAAGUCAAAUUGGGCAGGAACCUGGAGGCAAGAAGCCAUAGAGGAAUACUGCUUACUGGCUAUCUCCUCAAGGCAAGUUCAACCCAGAAUCAAAGGCCCAGUAGUGACUCCACCCACAAUGGGCUGGGCCUCCCAUAUCAAUCACGCCCUCCCUACAGGCUUGCCUGCAGCCUUGUACAGAGGCCUGUUGUCAACUGGUGCUUCCUCCUCUCUGAUGUCUACAUCUUGUAUCAAGUUGAAAUAAAACUAGCAAGUACAAUUACUAAAAAUAUUGCUUACACAUAUAGAGCACUGUAGGUUAAAAAAAAUCUUUAUUCUAUAAUUUAAUAUCAAUAAUAAAAACAUUUUCCUUUCAAGUCUUUUCCCCCUUUGAUAUAAAACCGCAAACAAAUACAAGUAAUUAAAUCACAUCACAAUUCUCAUUCACCAUUUCUAUGAAUUUCUCUAUCAUUUUGUAAAUAUGCAACUACCUCUCCUUUCCCUAUCUCCUUCUUUCCCUUCCUUUCUUGAAGCAAGAUCCUACAAAACAUCCCAAAGACCUCAAAAACUCCUGCUCAUUCUCUCAAAAUACAGACACAAAAAAAUAAAA
rnacentral:lncRNA from 1 species